rnacentral:rRNA from 1 species
GACGUAGGGCGCGAGCGUUGUCCGGAUUUAUUGGGCGUAAAGAGCUCGUAGGCGGCUUGUCGCGUCGUCUGUGAAAUCCCGCGGCUCAACCGCGGGCCUGCAGUCGAUACGGGCAGGCUAGAGUUCGGUAGGGGAGACUGGAAUUCCUGGUGUAGCGGUGAAAUGCGUAGAUAUCUGGAGGAACACCGGUGGCGAAGGCGGCAUCCUGGACCGGCAUUGACGCUGAGGCGCGAAAGCCAGGGGAGCAAACGGG